GACGAACGCUGGCGGCGUGCCUAAUACAUGCAAGUUGAGCGCUGAAGGUUGGUACUUGUACCAACUGGAUGAGCAGCGAACGGGUGAGUAACGCGUGGGGAAUCUGCCUUUGAGCGGGGGACAACAUUUGGAAACGAAUGCUAAUACCGCAUAAAAACUUUAAACACAAGUUUUAAGUUUGAAAGAUGCAAUUGCAUCACUCAAAGAUGAUCCCGCGUUGUAUUAGCUAGUUGGUGAGGUAAAGGCUCAACAAGGCGAUGAUACAUAGCCGACCUGAGAGGGUGAUCGGCCACAUUGGGACUGAGACACGGCCCAAACUCCUACGGGAGGCAGCAGUAGGGAAUCUUCGGCAAUGGACGAAAGUCUGACCGAGCAACGCCGCGUGAGUGAAGAAGGUUGUCGGAUCGUAAAACUCUGUUGGUAGAGAAGAACGUUGGUGAGAGUGGAAAGCUCAUCAAGUGACGGUAACUACCCAGAAAGGGACGGCUAACUACGUG
rnacentral:rRNA from 1 species